GCCAGACUCCUACGGGAGGCAGCAGUGGGGAAUAUUGCGCAAUGGGCGAAAGCCUGACGCAGCGACGCCGCGUGGGUGAAGGAGCACCUCGGUGCGUAAAGCCCUAUCGGCAGGGAAGAAACAGACGGUACCUGACUAAGAAGCCCCGGCUAACUACGUGCCAGCAGCCGCGGUAAUACGUAGGGGGCACGCGUUAUCCGGAUUUACUGGGUGUAAAGGGAGCGUAGACGGCCAGACAAGUCUGAAGUGAAAAUCCAGCGCUUAACGUUGGAAGUGCUUUGGAAACUGCCGGGCUAGAGUGCAGGAGGGGCAGGCGGAAUUCCUAGUGUAGCGGUGAAAUGCGUAGAUAUUAGGAGGAACACCAGUGGCGAAGGCGGCCUGCUGGACUGCAACUAACGUUGAGGCUCGAAGGCGUGGGGAGCAAACAGGAUUAGAUACCCUCGUA
rnacentral:rRNA from 1 species